GACGAACCGUGCGAACGUUAUUCGGAAUCACUGGGCUUAAAGCGCGUGUAGGCGGGCCGGCACGUCGGUCGCUGAAAUCCCCCGGCUCAACCGGGGAAGGGGCGCCGAUACGACCGGCCUGGAGGGGCGUAGGGGGACCUGGAACUUCCGGUGGAGCGGUGAAAUGCGUUGAGAUCGGAAGGAACGCCCGUGGCGAAAGCGAGGUCCUGGACGCCUGCUGACGCUGAGACGCGAAAGCCAGGGGAGCGAACGGGG
rnacentral:rRNA from 1 species